rnacentral:lncRNA from 1 species
CACAAAGUAAGGUAUAUUUGCGGCAAAUAGGAGACCAUGAGGAAUCAUUUCCAGAGUCAUAGUGUCCCCAAAGAAAGGGAAGGAGGGACAUUUAUUUCAGAUGGGGAAUGAAUGUUCAAAAGGGAGAGGUGAGUAUCCUCUUGCACAGGCGCAGAUGGAAAACAUGCUUCCACACACACUGCAGGUGAUGGUAAUAAGGCCUGAGCCGCUCCUGGAGAGAUCUUAGCAUUAAAAACAAGGCAAAGGUCAUAGGUGUAGCUCUUGUGGCGAGGCCUGUUCUGGUCCCAGGAGGUUUGUGAUGGCAUCUCCUUAACAUAACAAAAGGAAAAAAAAUUUGGAAAAAGAGUUAAACGCUUCCAAACCCACUCUUGAGUUCCUCAGGACAGCUAGUCAGCGAUAAGGGCAGGUCUAUGUCAGUUCAGACAGAGUCUCUGUGAAUUCAAGCGAGGACUUUGUGAGGUCAGAGGGCAUCUUGUAAGGUCAGGGAAGGACUCUGUGAGGUCAGGGGAGGUAUCUGUGAGGCCAGGGGCACUCUCCCUGAGUUCAUGGGGGGUCUCUAUGAGGUAAGUGGGUGUCUCUGUGAGGUAAGGGCAGGUCUCUGUGAGGUCAGAUUGGGUCUCUGUGAGGUCAGAGGGGUUGCCUCUGACGUCAUGGGAGGUCCAUGUGGCCAGGGGAGGUCUCUGUGAGGUCUGAUUGGGUCUGUCUGAAGUCAGGGGAGGCCUCUGUGAGGUCAGAGAGGGUACUUGGGAGGUCAGGGGUGGUCUCUGUGAGGACAGAUAUUGUCUCUGUGUGAUCAUGGGCAGUCUCUCAUUUCAGGGGAGGUCUCCGUGUGGUCAUACAGGUCUCUGAGUUCAGGGUCAUUUCUGUGGGGUCAGAGUUCUGUAGGGGAGGAAGACAUUUCUUCUACCCACUCUGGGUCCUUCUGGCCAGACAACGAAUUAAAUUCACAUGAGACAGAAUAACAGGAGAAAAUUAAACAAAGCUUUAUAACAGUAUACAUGGGAGAGACCCAGAAAAACUGAGUAACUCGCCAAAAUGGCUGAAGCCACCACCUUAAAUACUGUCUUCAGUUAAAGACAAAGGAGGAUGUUGGGGGUGGGGGGAGUCAGUUAUGGGAGAUUACCAGAAAAGCACAGUAAACAAGAGUAAGUUUAUAUGCAGGUUUAAGUCCUUGCCUUCUGCAUUGAUAAGAGUUUCUAGAGAUAAUGUCAUUCCCCCUUCUUCCUGGUACAGAGAGGGAGACACCUUUACAGAUGGGUCUCAUUUGUUCUGAAAGACACUGCCUCUCAUCACAAAUGAAUCUUUUGACACCCAGAGAAGGAAAGACUUUGUCAAGUCACAAGGCUGAGAACGGCUUGCCAAAGGAGUGUGGCCACACGUGGCAGGCACCCUAGGGAACAGACAGGGAACUCAUGAGUCAUGCUCUUCCAUCAGCAGUUUUCAGACUGUUCCUGGAUGAGACACAGAGGAGGACGGGCGGCAGCUGAGCUCCUGACAAUGACACAGCAGGUGAGAAGGGACUUGCUCUCACUCCUG